rnacentral:rRNA from 1 species
UACCAGCACCCCGAGUGGUCGGGACGUUUUAUUGGGCCUAAAGCAUCCGUAGCCGGUUCUGCAAGUCUUCCGUUAAAUCCACCUGCUUAACAGAUGGGCCGCGGAAGAUACUAUACGAGCUAGGAGGCGGGAGAGGCAAGCGGUACUCGAUGGGUAGGGGUAAAAUCCGUUGAUCCAUUGAAGACCACCAGUGGCGAAGGCGGCUUGCCAGAACGCG